rnacentral:rRNA from 1 species
ACUCAAAGGAAUUGACGGGGACCCGCACAACCGGUGGAGCGUGUGGUUCAAUUCGAGACAAAACGAAGAACCUCACCAGGGCUUGACAUAAUACCGUUUAUUUCUGUGGAAACACGGAGAAAUCCGCAAGGAUGGUACUACAGGUGCUGCAUGGCUGUCGUCAGCUCGUGCCGUGAGGUGUUCCCUUAAGUGGGGAAACGAGCGCAACCCCUGCCAAAUGUUAAAUAUUCAUUUGGAACAGCCCCGCGUUUUACGCGGGAAGGAAGGAAGGGAAGACGUCAAGUCAGCAUGGUCCUUACGCCCUGGGCUACACACACACUACAAUGGCGAAUAACAAUGGGCAGCAAGCUAGCAAUAGCAAGCAAAUCCCUUAAAUAUCGUCUCAGUUCAGAUUGGGGUCUGAAACCCGACCCCAUGAAGUCGGAAUCGGUAGUAAUCGCAGAUCAGCAAGCUGCGGUGAAUACGUUCUCGGGUCUUGCACACACCGCCCGU